AACGAACGCUGGCGGCAUGCCUAACACAUGCAAGUCGAACGAGACCUUCGGGUCUAGUGGCGCACGGGUGCGUAACGCGUGGGAACCUGCCCUUAGGUUCGGAAUAACUCCCCGAAAGGGGUGCUAAUACCGGAUAAUGUCUUCGGACCAAAGAUUUAUCGCCUUUGGAUGGGCCCGCGUUGGAUUAGCUAGUUGGUAGGGUAAAAGCCUACCAAGGCGACGAUCCAUAGCUGGUCGGAGAGGAUGAUCAGCCACACUGGGACUGAGACACGGCCCAGACCGGGAGGCAACGCAGGGGUGGGGUGUAUAGUGGAGGCGACCAUGGCGUGAUGAAGCCGUGUGGCGGGGGAUGACAAGGCGAGGGUGAAGUAAAUAAGUUAUGGCCGAAGCGAUAGUGACAGUACCGGGAGAAGAAGCUCCGGCUAACUCCGUG
rnacentral:rRNA from 1 species